rnacentral:rRNA from 1 species
ACUCCUACGGGAGGCAGCAGUGGGGAAUAUUGCACAAUGGGGGAAACCCUGAUGCAGCGACGCCGCGUGAAGGAAGAAGUAUUUCGGUAUGUAAACUUCUAUCAGCAGGGAAGAAAAUGACGGUACCUGACUAAGAAGCCCCGG